GACGUAGGGCGCGAGCGUUGUCCGGAUUUAUUGGGCGUAAAGAGCUCGUAGGCGGCUUGUCGCGUCGCCUGUGAAAUCCCGCGGCUCAACUGCGGGUCUGCAGUCGAUACGGGCAGGCUAGAGUUCGGUAGGGGAGACUGGAAUUCCUGGUGUAGCGGUGAAAUGCGCAGAUAUCAGGAGGAACACCGAUGGCGAAGGCAGGUCUCUGGGCCGAUACUGACGCUGAGGAGCGAAAGCGUGGGGAGCGAACAGG
rnacentral:rRNA from 1 species